UGUCAUUUGCUUGAGUAUGGUGGCAUCUGGGUGGAAUUACCUAUCUCGUAUCUGCCAGUAGCAGAGCAAAAUCCUUUUAUAUUCCAGAUUGACUUUUGUUCUGUGUGCAUGUCUGGUAGACACCC
rnacentral:snoRNA from 1 species